rnacentral:rRNA from 1 species
GCUAGUAAUCGCGGAUCAGAAUGCCGCGGUGAAUACGUUCCCGGGUCUUGUACACACCGCCCGUCACACCAUGGGAGUCGGAAAUGCUCGAAGUCUGUGACCGAACCGAAAGGAAGGAGCAGCCGAAGGCAGGUCGGAUGACUGGGGUGAAGUCGUAACAAGGUACC